rnacentral:rRNA from 1 species
UUGCCAGCCGCCGCGGUAGAACGUAGGAGACAAACGUUAUCCGGAGUUACUGGGCGUAAAGGGCGUGUAGGCGGUUUGUUAAGUCUGGCGUGAAAGCUCUCGGCUAAACCGGGAGAGGUCGUUGGAUACUGGCAAACUUGAGGAUGGUAGAGGCGUGUGGAAUUCCGGGUGUAGUGGUGAAAUGCGUAGAGAUCCGGAGGAACACCAGUGGCGAAGGCGACACGCUGGGCCGUACCUGACGCUAAAGCGCGACAGCAUGGGGAGCAAACGGGAUUAGAUACCCGAGUAGUCC